ensembl:lncRNA
UGUCAAGCAAACACUGGCACAGUGGCUGCUAUGACAGCAACACUAAAGACUGUUUUCCCCAUCUUUUAAACUCAGCCUGCAUCUUUGCACUUUGGGAUGGCUUUGAUUUCUUUUUGGCACGAAAAUGAUCUCAACCCCCACAUCAUACUUCUGCUUACCCAUGCGCAUGCUUACCUCAGAAUUUAGGACUCUGCUGGGUUCCAGAGAAAACCUCCUCCUAGGGGAGCGGAGAACUGCUGUUCUCAUGGGCUGAGAAUUCUCACAGGAUGAGGGGGUCUUUGCUGAGGUGUCUGGAGUUGCUUCUCAGAACUUCGUGCACCACAUCUGAGUUUGAAUGUGAAGAUAGACGUAAAAAGGCGUUUUACAACAUUAGCAUUUAUAGUGUGCGACAGUGGCAUCCAGGCCAGAGGAUCAGGAAGGCCGGAUUCCAUUUCAUUUUCCAGCCUUGCGCCUCCCCUUGCCCCCAGGACACUUCUGCUGGAUUACAACAGGCCAGGCGAAAGGAAUUAGUACUCCACCUCCCAGACGCGCAGUUGCUGGCACAGGAGUUAGAAGAGUGUCAGGUGAAAAAGGAACUCCAUACAGACUGGUCUUACAGCUGCCCUAUUUCACAGAAGUGACAGAUAAUGCUGGGAACCCCCCUCCCCAACACCUUGUAACUAACGGAGUCGCUUUUCUUCCCUGGGAUGCUCUUGGAGUUAAGAAAGAUUUGUUGUAUAACCCUGGCAGCACAUGGCCAUUAGAAAAUACUUAAUUCUGUGACAAUAUGCAAAGGAAAACUGUUGAGAGGUCAGCUAGCUCUGACUGCACGUAUUUUGACUACAAGGAGGUGGGAAGGAAGUUGAAGCUUUAACUCCAAAUUACUGACUUCAAAUGAAGAAAUAUCACCUGCUUGAUUCCCUGACAUCCUCCCACCGUACCCAGCUCUUUCAGGAUAUCUGAACUUGGGUAAUUCUCUUAGCAG